rnacentral:rRNA from 1 species
GACGAACGCUGGCGGCGUGCCUAAUACAUGCAAGUCGAGCGAGACUCUUCGGAGUCUAGCGGCGGACGGGUGAGUAACACGUGGGCAACCUGCCUGUAAGACUGGGAUAACACCGGGAAGCCGGUGCUAAUACCGGAUAAUCCUUUUCCUCUCAUGAGGAAAAGCUGAAAGUCGGUUUCGGCUGACACUUACAGAUGGGCCCGAGGCGCAUUAGCUAGUUGGUGAGGUAACGGCACACCAAGGCGACGAUGCGUAGCCGACCUGAGAGGGGGAUCGGCAACACGGGGACUGAAACACGGCCCAGACUCCAACGGGAGGCAGCAGUAGGGAAUCUUCCACAAUGGACGAAAGUCUGAUGGAGCAACGCCGCGUGAGCGAUGAAGGCCUUCGGGUCGUAAAGCUCUGUUGUUAGGGAAGAACAAGUACCGGAGUAACUGCCGGUACCUUGACGGUACCUAACCAGAAAGCCACGGCUAACUACGUGCCAGCCGCCGCGGUAAAAC